rnacentral:sRNA from 1 species
AUAUUAUACCGUACCGUAGACAGUAGGAGCACACAAUGCUUAAUAUUUCCUACCGAGGACUUAGAAUAUGUUUUUUUAAGGCCUUACUGUUUACGUAAGGUCUUUUAUU